UACGAGUGCCCCAAGCGUUAUCCGGAAUUAUUGGGCGUAAAGGGUGUGUAGGUUGUUGUAUUAGUCUUUUGUUAAAGCUCUCGGCUCAACCGGGAACACGCAGGAGAAACGGUACAACUAGAGGAUGCGAGAGGUGUGCGGAACUCAUGGUGUAGGGGUGAAAUCCGUUGAUAUCAUGGGGAACACCGAAAGCGAAGGCAGCACACUGGCGCACUCCUGACACUGAAACACGAAAGCGUGGGUAGCGAAUGGGA
rnacentral:rRNA from 1 species